GCGAGAGCUUGUAGAGGAGGGGUGCAGCUUCUCGUACUGACGGAGACAACUUUUUUUACGCUCUUCAGAGUUGAUGGGAGUGCUGAACUUGCCGGUACUGUACAGCAUUUAGGGCAGUAGUGAAGGCAGCAACAUGACGUACUAAGGGAGGUCAGUUCUGUCAUCACUUCGCUCACAGUUCUGAAGCAAGAGGAACGCGAAUGCUCCCAGCCAAGCGAGCAAACAACACUGCAACUUUGCACUGAACGGGAGGCGUAUCUAACUCCGCACAUCUUAAGAGUGAAGAAACUUGCCGUCCAGCCUGACCUGUGAGUGCCCAAACGUGCUUGAUCACGUGACCUGACAAUUUGAAGCCUCAUCUGACAUGAUCUUACCCAGAAGGUCCGGCUGCUCCUUAGCGAUUUGGUCACGUAUCAUUUCGCAGAAUUGCAAUCGGCGAUCUGGGUCUUCCUCCAAAAGGCCAUGCACCAGUCGUGGGAGGUAUGGUUUUUAUUUCACCUUACGCAUUAGGUGUCGCAAGGAUGUUCUUGGUAUGGAUAGUUCCAUUGAAGCGUGUCUUGUGGACUUUUU